AACUGCUGCAUUAGAAUGUGAUAAUCAUGUGACUUAAGGCCCUUGAGUUGAUAGUCAUCCAUACUGAUAUGAUGUUUCCAGUUUGCACUAUACCCUCUCGGAACUUUCAAAUCACUCAAGGUUCGACAAAUGAGUUCUCUUUCAGAUCUGGAUAAUGUGAAAGGAGCUUUAGGCAAUAACAACUUACCAUUUUUUCCUCUGGCCAAUAUUUUGAUCUUAUCUUCAUAGCCAUAAGAUCCUGACGGGCUUGUAAACCAUCCUUAGACUUGUCCUUCAUGUCCAUGAUUGUUGCAAUAAGGUUCUCAGUAACAUUUUUCUCAACAUGCAUCACAUCCAAAUUAUGACGAAUGGGCAUAUGCUCCCAAUACGGCAAUGUAAAGAAGAUUGAUCUCUUCGACCAAGCAGUAAGACAAACGCUUUGGAGCCUGCCGAUUUUCAUCAUUCCCAUUGAAUCGAGAUCUUUGGCUCCUAAAGAUAUGAGCUCUUGGGAGGAAUCUUCUGUGCCCCAUAUAAGCAAACUUCUUUCCAUGUUUUAGCCAAACAGAGUCAGUCUCCUCACUACAAACAGGACAUGCAUACUUUCCUCCUGUCCUACACCCAGAAAGAUGUCCAUAGGCUGGAAAAUCAUGUAUUGCCCAUAAUAAAAUCGCCUUCAUUGUAAA